rnacentral:rRNA from 1 species
UACAGAGGGUGCGAGCGUUAAUCGGAAUUACUGGGCGUAAAGCGCACGUAGGCGGCUUGGUAUGUCGGGUGUGAAAUCCCCGGGCUCAACCUGGGAACUGCAUCCGAAACUGCCUUGCUCGAGUAUGGGAGAGGGAAGUGGAAUUUCCGGUGUAGCGGUGAAAUGCGUAGAUAUCGGAAGGAACAUCAGUGGCGAAGGCGGCUCUCUGGGCAGAUACUGACGCUGAGACGCGAAAGCAUGGGGAGCAAACAGG